ACGGCGACAGAGUUUCUUCACCGUUAUUGAAACAGAUUUCGUUAUGGUUUCCUGGUGUUUAAUCCCAUUAAAUCUGACGCCCACUACAAGUUCUUCAAUGCUUGGUUUGCGUCGGCUAAGCUCUGUCAAUUUGGGUAUAAAUAUGUUCGUAUUUAUCUUCUAGAAAUCAUCCUCUCCUCAUCUCUCUUAUCUCUUUCUUAGAGUAUACCAAUUCACUGUUUAAUGGCUAACUCGAGGGUGUUCUUAUCUGAUUUGAAAUCCGGCAAGGGUUCAUCCGUUGUCGACAAAUCCCACAUAAUAGAAAGCAUAAACUCUACAAGGUUAUAGUUUUAAGUUUUUUUUUUGGUUUUAAGUUCCGCAAAAGGUUUUGCAAAUCAGUUAAUUAUGCAUCUUAGUUUUUUAGAGAUAUUGUGAUGGUUGUAAUGAUCAUGUUGAGAAAAAGUUCUAAAAAUUAUAUAUGUUGCAGUUUUUUUCUUCUAAUGAACCAACUCUUUUUACCACUUCUGCAAAUGUCUAAAUCAAAAAUUUCAGAUCCAACGGCUGCACAACGAGUGUGUAGAGAAUGCAGAUCGAUGGGUCACUGGAUUUCUGGAAAUAUUUGAAGAAGGUUUCAUAAGAAGGGGACUGCGACCAGAGGGGGUUGUAUCCAAGAGAGGUUAAUCAGAAAAUUCCCAGAAACAAACCGGAGAACGGUGAGGAUGAUGACGCAGACGAUCAAUUCUAUAUAAUAUUUUGACCAUGACUUGGGCAGGGAUGAGGAUGAAUAUAAACGACACUAUGCGAGGAUAAAGAUGUUGAAGAAGAGGAAGAGAAAACUGUUAAAGACGGAUGCAAAAGACAACAAGAUCAUUUUACUCAUGACAUGGAAAGGAAGUGAAAAAGGCAUUGUGCAUGAUAACGAUGAUGUAAUAAGUCGAGAAAAUCACAAGGUCUUGAAGAACAAAAUAGGAGGUCAACCUCUAUUCAUAUGUCACGGUUGGGUCAAGUGGGGAUGACCUAGACGCCAUGGCUGAGCCAUUGCCAAGGGUUAACAAGGCAGGUGGUCGGGUCAGUUACAUGAUCAAGCCAAGGUUCACGAGCUUCAAGCCAUGUUUGCAGGGGAAGCAACAUAUAUAACCCCACUACUCUACAAUUCGUGGUGCUUACUUUAGUGGUUUCAAGGAAGCCAAUAGGCUUCUCAAGCAUUGAAAAGUGAUCUUUGAGUGUUUGUUUUAAGAUAUGUAUUUUUGGUCAAUGUGUUUAGAGAAGCUUAAUCAGUUUUGUAAGAAUUUUGUUUUAAGAGAGAAUAAACUUCUAUUAUAUGUCACAAAUUUUUAUUCAUAUGGGCUGCUCGAGUUGUAAAU